rnacentral:rRNA from 1 species
GUAGUUAGCCGGGGCUUUCUAAUGGGGUACCGUCAUUUUUUCGUCCCCCACAACAGAGGUUUACAAUCCGAAAACCUUCUUCCCUCACGCGGCGUUGCUGGGUCAGGCUUGCGCCCAUUGCCCAAUAUUCCCCACUGCUGCCUCCCGUAGGAGUCUGGACCGUGUCUCAGUUCCAGUGUGGCCGAUCAGCCUCUCAGCUCGGCUACCCAUCGCAGGCUUGGUGGGCUGUUAUCUCACCAACUACCUAAUGGGACGCGAACCCCUCCUUCAGCGGAUUGCUCCUUUGACCUCAUCCCGAUGCCGGGUCGUGGUCUUAUGCGGUAUUAGCACUUGUUUCCAGGUGUUAUCCCCCUCUGAAGGUCAGGUUGUUCACGCGUUACUCACCCGUUCGCCACUAAAAUUUAUCUUCCAUCCGAAAACUUCUGAUAAAUCUCCGUUCGACUUGCAUGUGUUAGGCACGCCGCCAGCGUUCGUCCUGAACCAAGAUCAAAUUCUGA